rnacentral:sRNA from 1 species
GCUGGGUGUGGUGGUGCAUGUCUGUAAUCCCAGGGACUCAGGAGGCUGAGAGAGGAAGAUCACAAGUUCAAAGCCAGCAAGGCCCUAAGCAAUUCAGUGAGACCCUGUCUCUA